GACACCGCCACAGCAUGGCUUGACAAGCUGUGCUAGGUCUGUGCCUGGGAUCUGAACCUGCAAACCCUGGGCUGCCAAACUGGAGCAUGCAAACUUAACCACUACACCCAGGCCGGCCCCCAGAAUCUCCGUUUUAACAGAAUCCCCAGGGAUUGCCAUGUGUACUAAAGUUGGUGGAGCUUUGGUCUAACUCAUCGUGGGGCCGUCUGGUUUAAAGUGGUAUUGCAGCAUUGAAAGUUUAAGGAGAGACAAGGUCCAUGAGCCAGAAUCUGGUAUGGUGGUGGCAGAGUGACUGUUUCCUGUAUUUGGGCACUGCCAGCAGCUUGAUUCAGAAGACAGAUGACAAAUUUGUCACCGGGCUGCCUGGAUAAACACCAAGACCAUGGGAUCAUUUGCUUAAAGGAAAGGAGCUCGUCAGCGAUAUGAGACUCAUUUGAACAAGAGAGUCCAGGCUACCACAUCAUACCAAAUGUGCCUUGAAUAGUCAGGGUGCCAUGAAUUGGUCUUGAAGACGUAAAGACAGCUAGAAUUCCUUCCUUCAGAUAUUUAAAACAAAAAUCAGUAUAAUAUAUUUGUCAAUUGGAUCUGACUUUGCCAAUUUUGAGCAACCCAAAAACUCUCAUGUGAGAGUCUUGGCUAAUAUCUGAAGAUGUUUGAGAUUCCAGUAAGAGAUUAUGACAGAUCAAGAUGCCAGGUGUAGUUUAAGAUUGCUUAUUUGAGGAGUGAUGUCGGUGACAUGAUGGAGUGAGCUCACCUGGGACUUUCUCCCCUCCAAAUUACAACCAAAAGGAGUAACUGCCUUCCAACCAAAAAAAAUCCUAAUAACAGAAAUCGUCAGAGACCCACAGCAGCCAAAUGACAGAGGAUGGAGAGGCUGGAGCCGUCCUUGGAGGAGCUGGAAUGUGG
rnacentral:lncRNA from 1 species